AUGAGAACUAUAAUUGAUUUCACACCACUAGACCCGAGAAAGACGAAUUUGUGUACAUUUGCUAGCUGUCAGAAUUUUAAGCAGGUGACUUCAUCUCCCUCUUCAUUUUGUUUAAAUGCUAAUAAUCUCAUAGGACUGUUCUUGAGAAAAUGCAAUGCAGAGAUCAGAAUGCCACACUCAUGUAACUCAGAUGUGCCAUACAGAUGUGAGGCGACUGGACUUAAAAUAGGAGCAGUUUUCUCUGCAGCCCGGACAACUAUUUCCACCCGAAGGAGAGAACUGAGCAGGAGAUCCUCACCUCACUCCGAUAUACAAUGAAGAAUGACAAAGAAAUGGUAGCAAGCGGAGAGGACUCAAGAUGGCGCUGUGAGAACAACCCAGGAUUGGAGCUCUCGUUGAAUCCGCAAAGAGGUGAGUCGGAGUUGCAUUUCCAGACUGAUCUUUGUUGCCCACAGAAUGGGGAAACUCCCAAGUGUAAGGGAGACACGGGACGCCAGGCAGUAAGUCUGCCUGGCAAAGCUGGCACCUGGGGCGGCGGCAGCCAGCCCUACCCAGCAAUCCCCACAGGGCGCGCUUGUCCGGGUGCCCUGUUGAACCGGCAACCUGAGACUUGAGAGGGCUGGACUUGAGACUGAACGAGACUUGGACAGUAGGCCAGCCCAGGGGAUUGCAGGGACAGAGCGUUCGGGGUACCCAGUGGGACGAACAAAACGGCGAUUUCAAACUAUCCCGAGCAGACGGUCCGAGACGCUCUGUGGGGGAGGGGCGUCCACCACUACCGAGGCAACCCGCCCCAACUGAGAUACACGCCCACUGCUGACGCAGCCAGCCGUUGCCGAGGCA
rnacentral:lncRNA from 1 species